GCCUGGCCAGCUCAGUCAGUGGAGCAUGUGACUCUUGAUCUCGGGGUUGUGAGUUCAAGCCCCAUGUCGGGUA
rfam:Ailuropoda melanoleuca scaffold1356_81, whole genome shotgun sequence.